rnacentral:rRNA from 1 species
GAUGAACGCUGGCGGCAGGCCUAACACAUGCAAGUCGAGCGGAUGAGGAGAGCUUGCUCUCUGAUUUAGCGGCGGACGGGUGAGUAAUGCCUAGGAAUCUGCCUGGUAGUGGGGGAUAACGUCCGGAAACGGGCGCUAAUACCGCAUACGUCCUACGGGAGAAAGCAGGGGACCUUCGGGCCUUUCGCUAUCAGAUGAGCCUAGGUCGGAUUAGCUAGUUGGUGAGGUAAUGGCUCACCAAGGCUACGAUCCGUAACUGGUCUGAGAGGAUGAUCAGUCACACUGGAACUGAGACACGGUCCAGACUCCUACGGGAGGCAGCAGUGGGGAAUAUUGGACAAUGGGCGAAAGCCUGAUCCAGCCACGCCGCGUGUGUGAAGAAGGUCUUCGGAUUGUAAAGCACUUUAAGUUGGGAGGAAGGGCAGUAAGUUAAUACCUUGCUGUUUUGACGUUACCGACAGAAUAAGCACCGGCUAACUUCGUGCCAGCCGCCGCCGUAA